AAAGGGGGGGCUCCUUCGGGACCUCCUGCUUGGGGAUGAGCUUAUGUCCUAUUAGCUAGUUGGUGAGGUAAUGGCUCACCAAGGCGAUGAUGGGUAGCCGAGCUGAGAGGCUGAUCGGCCACACUGGAACUGAAACACGGUCCAGACUCCUACGGGAGGCAGCAGUGGGGAAUUUUGCGCAAUGGGCGAAAGCCUGACGCAGCGACGCCGCGUGAGGGAUGAAGGUUCUCGGAUCGUAAACCUCUGUCAGGAAGGAUUAAAUGCAUGGAUGCAAAUACCAUCCAUGCUUGACUUAACUUCCAAAGGAAGCCCCGGCUAACUACGUGCCAGCAGCCGCGGUAAUACGUAGGCAGCAAGCGUUGUUCGGAAUUACUGGGCGUAAAGAGUGUGUAGGUGGUGUCGUAAGUUUGGUGUGAAAUCUCCCGGCUUAACUGGGAGGGUGCGCCGAAACUGCGAUGCUGAGUAUGGGAGAGGAAAGCGGAAUUCCUGGUGUAGCGGUGAAAUGCGUAGAUUCAGGAACACCUGCGGUGUAGACGGCUUUCUGGACAUUACUGACACUGAACACGAAAGCGUGGGUAGCAAACAGAUUAGAUACCCUGGUAGUC
rnacentral:rRNA from 1 species